AGGGUAGUGGGUGCUGUAGCAGAGGCCAUAAUUGGGAGAGAUGGAGGGAGAAAGAGAGUGAUGUGUGUUUAGAGAGGGAGUGAAGAUGUGUGGACUAAAAGAAGAAGCUCAUAUGGAUGUGAAAAUGUAAAAGACGUGAAGAUGUGGAUGUGAGGAAGGAAGAUGGGAAUGGAUGGGCAAUGUGAGUAGAUUUCGGAUUUUCUCUUAUCGUUGAGGAGAGGUUCAAGAUGUUCGAUGCUUUUAAUAUUUGCCAUUUGC
rnacentral:misc_RNA from 1 species